GGGGAAUAUUGCACAAUGGGCGAAAGCCUGAUGCAGCAACGCCGCGUGAGUGAUGAAGGCCUUCGGGUUGUAAAGCUCUGUCUUCUGGGACGAUAAUGACGGUACCAGAGGAGGAAGCCACGGCUAACUACGUGCCAGCAGCCGCGGUAAUACGUAGGUGGCAAGAGUUGUCCGGAUUUACUGGGCGUAAAGGAUGCGUAGGCGGAUACUUAAGUCAGAUGUGAAAAUCCCGGGCUUAACUUGGGAACUGCAUUUGAAACUGGGUAUCUAGAGUGCGGGAGAGGAAAGUGGAAUUCCUAGUGUAGCGGUGAAUUGCGUAGAGAUUAGGAAGAACACCAGUGGCGAAGGCGACUUUCUGGACCGUAACUGACGCUGAGGCAUGAAAGCGUGGGGAGCAAACA
rnacentral:rRNA from 1 species